CAGCGCCGCGGUAAUACAGAGGGUGCGAGCGUUAAUCGGAUUUACUGGGCGUAAAGCGUGCGUAGGCGGCUUCUUAAGUCGGAUGUGAAAUCCCUGAGCUUAACUUAGGAAUUGCAUUCGAUACUGGGAAGCUAGAGUAUGGGAGAGGAUGGUAGAAUUCCAGGUGUAGCGGUGAAAUGCGUAGAGAUCUGGAGGAAUACCGAUGGCGAAGGCAGCCAUCUGGCCUAAUACUGACGCUGAGGUACGAAAGCAUGGGGAGCAAACAGGAUUAGAUACCCCCGUAGUCCCUGUCUCUUAUACA
rnacentral:rRNA from 1 species